ACUUUCAGGACUGCAGGGGAAAGGGUGGACACCCAGCCUCCCGCCAGGUCAGAGCAGAGGCUAAAAAUGGCCCAGGGGAGACUGCUGGAGUUGCAUGGAGUUCGGGAGCCUAGGAGGGGUCUGAAAAUAACUGUCAAAAAGUUUGAAGGGAGGAUACAAAAAUACAUCAGUUUGCAAACCAGAAGAAGGUCCUCACCAGAAACCAACUAUGCUGGCACCCUGAUCUUGGACUUCUAGCCUCCAGAACUGUGAGAAAUAAAUGUGUGUUUAUAAACCAGUCAGUCAGUCUAUGGUGCUUUAUUAUAGCAUCUGGAACGAGCUAAGACAGCUGCUAAGUAGCAUUCCAUUUGACAAGGAAGACUUACCAUUCACACUACUUCUGAGUUCAAUGAAAGAGAGGCUCGCAAUAGAAAACUUAUACAGUACUUUCUAUGGUCAGUUGUGAUCAUAAAAAGAGAGUAAGAAGAAAAACAACUCUGAAAGACAAGAUUUGGUUUCUCUCUUUCAUUGUACACAUAAAAUAAGACUUGACCAUCUGGAAAAAGGAAGCCUGAGAAUGAAUAUAUAAGAAGAGGACAUAAAAUGGUGGAAAGAGAAAGCAUGGUUUUAGCAGCCAAAUUCUGAAAUAAGGCUAAACCUACAUGGAGGCAUUUCUUCAGCUUGAAGGAAGGAAUUUAACCCAAAGACAUUGGAAAAUGACUUGACAGAGUCACACAGGAAAUUGUUGUAGGAAUUAGAACUAGAAAUCUGGUCUCCUGAUGAUCAUUUCUAGGAAUGGCUACUAAAAAAUCAAAGAAAAAGAUUUCAAUAG
rnacentral:lncRNA from 1 species